GCGUCGGUGGUGAAUCGGUGCACAGCUGCGUGUAGUGCGGUCUCUCUUUAUUUCGAAUUGAGCAGCUGAAAAGGGUUCAACUCCCUUCCGACGCA